AGAGUUUGAUCAUGGCUCAGGAUGUACGCCGGCGGUGUGCCUAAUACAUGCAAGUCGUACGCGUUGGCCCAACUGAUUGAACGUGCUUGCACGGACUUGACGUUGGUUUACCAGCGAGUGGCGGACGGGUGAGUAACACGUAGGUAACCUGCCCCAAAGCGGGGGAUAACAUUUGGAAACAGAUGCUAAUACCGCAUAACAAUUUGAAUCGCAUGAUUCAAAUUUAAAAGAUGGUUUCGGCUAUCACUUUGGGAUGGACCUGCGGCGCAUUAGCUUGUUGGUAGGGUAACGGCCUACCAAGGCUGUGAUGCGUAGCCGAGUUGAGAGACUGAUCGGCCACAAUGGAACUGAGACACGGUCCAUACUCCUACGGGAGGCAGCAGUAGGGAAUCUUCCACAAUGGGCGCAAGCCUGAUGGAGCAACACCGCGUGAGUGAAGAAGGGUUUCGGCUCGUAAAGCUCUGUUGUUAGAGAAGAACGUGCGUGAGAGCAACUGUUCACGCAGUGACGGUAUCUAACCAGAAAGUCACGGCUAACUACGUGCCAGCAGCCGCGGUAAUACGUAGGUGGCAAGCGUUAUCCGGAUUUAUUGGGCGUAAAGCGAGCGCAGGCGGUCUGAUAAGUCUGAUGUGAAAGCCUUUGGCUUAACCAAAGAAGUGCAUCGGAAACUGUCAGACUUGAGUGCAGAAGAGGACAGUGGAACUCCAUGUGUAGCGGUGGAAUGCGUAGAUAUAUGGAAGAACACCAGUGGCGAAGGCGGCUGUCUGGUCUGCAACUGACGCUGAGGCUCGAAAGCAUGGGUAGCGAACAGGAUUAGAUACCCUGGUAGUCCAUGCCGUAAACGAUGAGUGCUAGGUGUUGGAGGGUUUCCGCCCUUCAGUGCCGCAGCU
rnacentral:rRNA from 1 species